rnacentral:rRNA from 1 species
UUUGAUCCUGGCUCAGAUUGAACGCUUUUGGCAUGCCUUACACAUGCAAGUCGAACGGCAGCACGGGAGCUUGCUCCUGGUGGCGAGUGGCGAACGGGUGAUUAAUAUAUCGGAACGUACCCUAGAGUGGGGGAUAACGCAGCGAAUGUUGCUCUAAUACCGCAUACGAUCUACGGAUGAAAGUGGGGGAUCGCAAGACCUCAUGCUCAUGGAGCGGCCGAUAUCUGAUUAGCUAGUUGGGGGGGUAAAGGCCUACCAAGGCAUCGAUCAGUAGCUGGUCUGAGAGGACGACCAGCCACACUGGAACUGAGACACGGUCCAGACUCCUACGGGAGGCAGCAGUGGGGAAUUUUGGACAAUGGGGGCAACCCUGAUCCAGCAAUGCCGCGUGAGUGAAGAAGGCCUUCGGGUUGUAAAGCUCUUUUGUCAGGGAAGAAACGGUGAGGGCUAAUAUCCUUUGCUAAUGACGGUACCUGAAGAAUAAGCACCGGCUAACUACGUGCCAGCAGCCGCGGUAAUACGUAGGGUGCAAGCGUUAAUCGGAAUUACUGGGCGUAAAGCGUGCGCAGGCGGUUAUGUAAGUCAGAUGUGAAAUCCCCGGGCUCAACCUGGGAAUGGCAUUUGAGACUGCAUGGCUAGAGUGUGUCAGAGGGGGGUAGAAUUCCACGUGUAGCAGUGAAAUGCGUAGAGAUGUGGAGGAAUACCGAUGGCGAAGGCAGCCCCCUGGGAUAACACUGACGCUCAUGCACGAAAGCGUGGGGAGCAAACAGGAUUAGAUACCCUGGUAGUCCACGCCCUAAAACGAAGUCUAUUAAGUCGUCGGGGAAGUAAUUGUCUUGGUACCGCAGCUAACGCGUGAAGUAGACCGCCGGGGGGGUACGGUCGCAAGAUUAAAACUCAAAAGGAAUGGACGGGGACCCGCACAAGGCGGUGGAUGAUGUGGAUUAAUUCGAUGCAACGCGAAAAACCUUACCUACCCUUGACAUGUACGGAACCUCUGAGAGAUUAGAGGGUGCUCGAAAGAGAGUCGUAACACAGGUGCUGCAUGGCUGUCGUCAGCUCGUGUCGUGAGAUGAUGGGUUAAGUCCCGCAACGAGCGCAACCCUUGUCAUUAGUUGCUACGAAAGGGCACUCUAAUGAGACUGCCGGUGACAAACCGGAGGAAGGUGGGGAUGACGUCAAGUCCUCAUGGCCCUUAUGGGUAGGGCUUCACACGUCAUACAAUGGUACAUACAGAGGGCCGCCAACCCGCGAGGGGGAGCUAAUCCCAGAAAGUGUAUCGUAGUCCGGAUUGUAGUCUGCAACUCGACUACAUGAAGUUGGAAUCGCUAGUAAUCGCGGAUCAGCAUGUCGCGGUGAAUACGUUCCCGGGUCUUGCAAACACCGCCCGUCA